GGAUUACUGUGCUUGAUUGGCCAGCAAACUCGCCUGACCUGAACCCCAUAGAGAAUCUAUGGGGCAUUGCCAAGGGAAAGAUGAGAGACAUGAGACCGAACAAUACAGAAGAGCUGAAGGCCGCUAUUGAAGCAUCCUGGUCUUCCAUAACACCUCAGCAGUACCACAGGCUGAUAGCUUCCAUGCCACGCCACACUGAGGCAGUAAUUGCUGCAAAAGGGGCCCAAAGCAAGUACUGAGUCCAUAUGCAUGCUUAUACUUUUCAGAGGUCCGAUAUUGUUCUAUGUACACUCCUUGUUUUAUUGAUUGCAUGUAAUAUUCUAAUUUACUGAGAUUGUGG